GGGUAAUCACAGAGGUAAAAAGUAUAUUAAUAUAACUGAGAUAAGGAGCAGUCUGCAGAGGCUUAGAUACAGGGUAAUCACAGAGGUAAAAAGUAUAUUAAUAUAACUGAGAUAAGGGGCAGUCUGCAGAGGCUUAGAUACAAGGUAAUCACAGAGGUAAAAAGUAUAUUAAUAUAACUGAGAUAAGGGGGCAGUCUGCAGAGGCUUUAGAUACAAGGUAAUCACAGAGGUAAAAAGUAUAUUACUAUAACUGAGAUAAGGAGCAGUCUGCAGAGGCUUAGAUACAGGGUAAUCACAGAGGUAAAAAGUAUAUUAAUAUAACUGAGAUAAGGAGCAGUCUGCAGAGGUAUAGAUACAGGGUAUUCACAGAGGUAAAAAUAUAUUAAUAUAACUGAGAUAAGGAGCAGUCUGCAGAGGCAUAGAUACAGGGUAAUCACAGAGGUAAAAAGUAUAUUAAUAUAACUGAGAUAAGG